rnacentral:rRNA from 1 species
UAAUACAGAGGGUGCAAACGUUAAUCGGAGUGACUGGGCGUAAAGGGCGCGUAGGCGGUUGUGUAAGUUGAAUGUGAAAUACCAGGGCUUAACCUUGGGGGGUCAUUCAAUACUGUACGGCUGGAGUAGGUUAGAGGGAGGUGGAAUUUCCGGUGUAGCGGUGAAAUGCGUAGAUAUCGGAAGGAACACCAGUGGCGAAGGCGGCCUCCUGGGACCUAACUGACGCUGAGGCGCGAAAGCAUGGGGAGCAAACAGG